GUGCUCCCUUCGGCAGCACAUACCCUAAAAUUGGAACUAUACAGAGAAGAUUAGCAUUCCCCCUAGGCAAGGAUGAUACGCAAAUUCAUGAAGUGUUCCAUACUUUU